rnacentral:rRNA from 1 species
CCAUGCAUGUCUAAGUGGAGUAUUAUAUAGCGAAACUGCGAACGGCUCAUUACAACAGAUAUAAUUUACUAGUUCUUGUUUUCUAUAUGGAUAACUGCGGUAAUUCUGGAGCCAAUACAUGCAUCAAGCCCUGGCCGCUCGGUUAGGGUGCAAUUAUUGGAGCAAAACCAGUCUCGUACUGUUUGCUAACUCAGGAUAAUUCUGCAUAUCGCAUGGUCUUGUACCGGCGAAGUUUCUUUCAAGUAUCUGCUUUAUCAACUAUCGUUGGUAGUUUAUUGGUCUACCAUGGUGUUGACGGGUAACGGAGAAUCAGGGUUUGACUCCGGAUAGGGAGCCUUAGAAACGGCUACCAUGUCUAAGGAUAGCAGCAGGCGCGAAAAUUACCCAAUAUCAAAACGAUGAGGUAGUGACGAGAAAUAACAAGAUCGUUCUCUUUGAGAUCGAUUAUUGGAAUGAGUACAAUCCAGAAAUUUUAACGAGUACCUCCGAGAGGGCAAGUCUGGUGCCAGCAGCCGCGGUAAUUCCAGCUCUCGUAAUGUAUAGAAUUAUUGUUGCGAUUAAAAAGUUUGUAGUUGGAUUGCAACGCAGGUAUGGGUCCACCCUCUGGGUGCGUACUCAAUGCUUGCAUUUUGCAUGUUUUUGUGGCGUCGCUUCGGUGGCGUUCAUGAUGCAUGCAGGAUUACUUUGAACGGCUCAAGUGCUUAAAGCAAGUCUUAUGACUGAAUACCGGUGCAUGGAAUAAUGGAACAAGGUUGUGGCUGAGUUUUAUUGGUUUUGUCGGCUAAAACAAUGGUUAACAGGAACAGCCGGGGGCAUUCGUAUCGCUGCGCGAGAGGUGAAAUUCGUGGACCGUAGCGAGACGUCCUACAGCGAAGGCAUUUGCCAAGAGUGUUUUCAUUAAUCAAGAACGAAAGUCAGAGGUUCGAAGGCGAUUAGAUACCGCUCUAGU